UACGAACUGUGCAAACGUUAUUCGGAUUCACUGGCUUAAAGGGUGCGUAGGCGGCUUGCCAAGUAGGGUGUGAAAGCCCCCCGGCUUAACCGGGGAAUUGCGCCCUAAACUGGCGAGCUGGAGUGAGAUAGGGGUGUGUGGAACUUCCGGUGGAGCGGUGAAAUGUGUUGAUAUCGGGAAGGAACGCCGGUGGCGAAAGCGACACACUGGGUCUCAACUGACGCUGAGGCACGAAAGCCAGGGGAGCGACAG
rnacentral:rRNA from 1 species